rnacentral:rRNA from 1 species
UACGUAGGGUGCGAGCGUUGUCCGGAAUUAUUGGGCGUAAAGGGCUCGUAGGCGGUCUGUUGCGUCGGGAGUGAAAACUCAGGGCUUAACCCUGAGCCUGCUUCCGAUACGGGCAGACUUGAGUACUGCAGGGGAGACUGGAAUUCCUGGUGUAGCGGUGGAAUGCGCAGAUAUCAGGAGGAACACCGGUGGCGAAGGCGGGUCUCUGGGCAGUAACUGACGCUGAGGAGCGAAAGCGUGGGGAGCGAACAGG